rnacentral:rRNA from 1 species
AUUGAACGCUGGCGGCAGGCCUAACACAUGCAAGUCGAGCGAGCGGCGGACGGGUGAGUAAUGUCUGGGAAACUGCCUGAUGGAGGGGGAUAACUACUGGAAACGGUAGCUAAUACCGCAUACCAUCAGAUGUGCCCAGAUGGGAUUAGCUAGUAGGUGGGGUAACGGCUCACCUAGGCGACGAUCCCUAGCUGGUCUGAGAGGAUGACCAGCAACACGGGAAUGGAGACACGGUCCGGACUCCUCCGGUAGGCAGCAGUGGGGAGUAUUGCACAAGGGGCGAAAGCCGGAUGCAGCAAGCCCGGGUGUGGGAAGAGGGCCUUCGGGUUGUAAAGCACUUUCAGCGGGGAGGCGUUACCCGCAGAAGAAGCACCGGCAAACUCCGUGCCAGCAGCCGCGGUAAUAC